rnacentral:lncRNA from 1 species
UUACGGGCUUACCAACAAACCUUACAACAAGAAUAAAGAACAAGGAACUAAAGCUCCUAAAUGAGCAAAUAAAACAAUUAUGAGCUACAAAGAAGAGUUUAGAAUAUAAUUAUCCCUUUAAUAAGGCUCUUCUCUUCUUUGUCAAGAUUGCUUCACUCUUCAAGGAUUGGUGGAGCUCUUAAUGUCUCUUGGAAUCUGCUCAACCACUUUCUUUUGGCUCUUUGAAUGAAGCAAUUGAAUGAAGCUUGCCUUGCUAGAGUUUUCUCUUGAAU